GUUGUAUAGUCAAGUAAUUAAGUGCAUGUGGUGGAUGCCUUGGCAGUCAGAGGCGAUGAAAGACGUGAUAGCCUGCGAAAAGCUCCGGGGAGGCGGCAAAUAUCCUUUGAUCCGGAGAUGUCUGAAUGGGGGAACCCACCUACUUUAAGGUAGGUAUUGCAACAUGAAUACAUAGUGUUGCAAGGCGAACGAGGGGAAGUGAAACAUCUCAGUACCCUUAGGAAAAGAAAUCAAUUGAGAUUCCCUCAGUAGCGGCGAGCGAACGGGGAUCAGCCCAUUAAGUUAUGUGUGUUUUAGUGGAACGCUCUGGGAAGUGCGAACGUAGAGGGUGAUAUUCCCGUACACGAAAGGGCACACAUAAUGAUGACGAGUAGGGCGAGGCACGUGAAACCUUGUCUGAAUAUGGGGGGACCAUCCUCCAAGGCUAAAUACUCCUGACUGACCGAUAGUGAACCAGUACCGUGAGGGAAAGGCGAAAAGAACCCCUGUGAGGGGAGUGAAAUAGAUCCUGAAACCGCAUGCAUACAAGCAGUGGGAGCACCUUCGUGGUGUGACUGCGUACCUUUUGUAUAAUGGGUCAGCGACUUAUAUUCAGUAGCGAGGUUAACCGUAUAGGGGAGCCGUAGAGAAAUCGAGUCUUAAUAGGGCGUUUAGUUGCUGGGUAUAGACCCGAAACCAGGCGAUCUAUCCAUGAGCAGGUUGAAGGUUGGGUAACACUAACUGGAGGACCGAACCCACUGUCGUUGAAAAGCCAGGGGAUGACUUGUGGAUAGGGGUGAAAGGCUAAUCAAGCCUGGUGAUAGCUGGUUCUCCCCGAAAGCUAUUUAGGUAGCGCCUCGGACGAAUACCAUAGGGGGUAGAGCACUGUUUCGGCUAGGGGGUCAUCCCGACUUACCAAACCGAUGCAAACUCCGAAUACCUAUGAGUACUAUCCGGGAGACAGACUGCGGGUGCUAACGUCCGUAGUCAAGAGGAAAACAAUCCAGACCGCCAGCUAAGGCCCCAAAAUCAUAGUUAAGUGGGAAACGAUGUGGGAAGGCAUAGACAGCUAGGAGGUUGGCUUAGAAGCAGCCACCCUUUAAAGAAAGCGUAAUAGCUCACUAGUCGAGUCGGCCUGCGCGGAAGAUGUAACGGGGCUAAAACUAUGUGCCGAAGCUGCGGAUGUAUACUUUGUAUACGUGGUAGGGGAGCGUUCUGUAAGCCGAUGAAGGUGUGUUGAGAAGCAUGCUGGAGGUAUCAGAAGUGCGAAUGCUGACGUGAGUAACGACAAAACGGGUGAAAAACCCGUUCGCCGAAAGACCAAGGGUUCCAGUCCAACGUUAAUCGGGGCUGGGUGAGUCGACCCCUAAGGCGAGGCCGAAAGGCGUAGUCGAUGGGAAAAUGGUUAAUAUUCCAUUACUUCUGUGUAAUGCGAUGAGAGGACGGAGAAGGCUAAAUCAGCCUGGCGUUGGUUGUCCAGGUGAAAGGAUGUAGGCAUGUAUCUUAGGCAAAUCCGGGGUACUCUAUGCUGAGAUCUGAUAGCAAGCUGUACUUGUACAGCGAAGUGGUUGAUGCCAUGCUUCCAGGAAAAGUCUCUAAGCUUCAGUUACACAGGAAUCGUACCCGAAACCGACACAGGUGGUCAGGUCGAGUAGACCAAGGCGCUUGAGAGAACUCUGCUGAAGGAACUAGGCAAAAUGGUACCGUAACUUCGGGAGAAGGUACGCUGUUGUUGGUGAUGGAACUCGCUUCCUGAGCUGACGACAGCCGCAGAAACCAGGCCGCUGCAACUGUUUAUUAAAAACAUAGCACUCUGCAAACACGAAAGUGGACGUAUAGGGUGUGAUGCCUGCCCGGUGCUGGAAGGUUAAUUGAUGGGGUUAGCGUAAGCGAAGCUCUUGAUCGAAGCCCCAGUAAACGGCGGCCGUAACUAUAACGGUCCUAAGGUAGCGAAAUUCCUUGUCGGGUAAGUUCCGACCUGCACGAAUGGCAUAAUGAUGGCGGCGCUGUCUCCAGCAGAGGCUCAGUGAAAUCGAAAUCGCUGUGAAGAUGCAGUGUACCCGCGGCUAGACGGAAAGACCCCGUGAACCUUUACUGCAGCUUGACACUGAACUUUGACCUUACUUGUGUAGGAUAGGUGGGAGGCUUUGAAGCUGGAACGCUAGUUCCAGUGGAGCCGUCCUUGAAAUACCACCCUGGUAAUGUUGAGGUUCUAACUCUGUCCCGUGAUCCGGGACGAGGACCGUGUCUGGUGGGUAGUUUGACUGGGGCGGUCUCCUCCUAAAGAGUAACGGAGGAGUACGAAGGUGCGCUCAGCGUGGUCGGAAAUCACGCGUAGAGUAUAAAGGCAAAAGCGCGCUUAACUGCGAGACCCACAAGUCGAGCAGGUACGAAAGUAGGUCUUAGUGAUCCGGUGGUUCUGUAUGGAAGGGCCAUCGCUCAACGGAUAAAAGGUACUCUGGGGAUAACAGGCUGAUACCGCCCAAGAGUUCAUAUCGACGGCGGUGUUUGGCACCUCGAUGUCGGCUCAUCUCAUCCUGGGGCUGAAGCAGGUCCCAAGGGUAUGGCUGUUCGCCAUUUAAAGAGGUACGCGAGCUGGGUUUAGAACGUCGUGAGACAGUUCGGUCCCUAUCUACCGUGGGCGCUGGAAAUUUGAGAGGAUCUGCUCCUAGUACGAGAGGACCAGAGUGGACGAACCUCUGGUGUACCGGUUGUGACGCCAGUCGCAUCGCCGGGUAGCUAUGUUCGGAAGGGAUAACCGCUGAAAGCAUCUCAGCGGGAAGCCUACCUCAAGCUAAGCUUUCCCUAGGACUUUCUGUCCUCUACAGAGCCGUUCGAGACUAGGACGUUGCUAGGUAGGUUGUGAAAGCAUAGUGAUAUGUGAAGCUGACCAAUACUAAUUGCUCGUGAGGCUUGACUAUACAACACCCAAGCAGUUG
rnacentral:rRNA from 1 species